CCUGUCGCUCCACACCCAGGCUCCGCUUCCUUUGUGCCCAAGCUCCGCCCCUCGCGCUCACCGGUCACAGCCUCUCACGCGACCGGUGGGGUACUUCACAGGCGCGAUACCUCACAGGUUAGAGGCGGGAAGCCGGUGGCUCCGGGCAACGGCGAUAACCCGGCACAGAGGCAAAGUGGCCUUUCGGAGCGUCCGCACGUAACGCGGCUCCUCACACACGGAGCCGGGAGGCCGUGGGAGAGGGGAGGCCGUGCGCGCGAGCGAAGCGGCGGCAGGGCCCCGUCAGCCUCAGGAAGGGACUCGGAGACGCCCCGAGCGAGCGGAACCUCUUUCCCAGACUUGAGAGUCGCCCCUCCCCCUCCGGGGACCGUUACCCGUCACCGCCCGGAGGAGCGAGCGGCUCUGUGACUGUCGCUAGAGCGGCCCUGGGCGGCGUUUGGCUAGGGCACGCUGGCUUGUAGCCUUGGAAGGUUCUCUGCUCACUUCUUUCCCAGCGUUGCGGUUGGAUCAUUAUAACUGAGGGAUCCGCUGUAGUCUCACUCUCUCCAGUACUCAAUACGUGACCACUAAUCCUUAGAGGAUGUGCUGCGGGAUGCCUGCCAGGCAAGCAUACUAAAGGAUAUCAUUCCUUUGGUAUCCAGCUGUUUCCUGGAGCCUUUGCAAAACAAUUCAGCACGAAGGGAAAACAAGGAAGCUGCUUUAAAAAUUGUGACAUCAAGCCGGGUUCAGUGGCUCUUGCCUGUAAUACCAGCACUUGGGAAGCUGAGGCAGGAGGACUGCUUAAAACAAGCACCUGUCAUGCACAUUGACCUGUCAAGCCCAGCUGCAGUGACCCUUAUGUCGAAGUCCUGGACAUCUACCAGAUCUGACAGAUUCCCAUAGAAGAAGUGUGGCUUCAAGGGACUAUUUGAACAGAGAUUCCCCAAUGCUUUGGUCUUCAUCCAUGGUUCAUGUUUUGAAUGCUUGGUUCCCAACUUGUGGCAGUACUUUAAAGACUGUGCAGACUAAGCAGUGGGGCCUGGCUGGCAGAAAUAGAGCACUAGCAGUUGGCCUUUGGAGGUUAUAUGCACCCUGGCUCUACCUUACACUCUCUGCUUCCUGAUCAUCCAGGAUGUGAACAAGUCUCUCCUGGGCCUCAUGUCUUCUCACACUGAGAACUCUGAAGCCAUGAACCAACGUAAUCAUCAACAGAGGCUUGCAGGAAAGCUCUCUGUGCAUUGCACACAUCUUUGAGGUGUUAACCAAGUGGCCUGGGGCUCAACCCCUUAUCUAUGAGCUGAUGACAGAAAGAAAGAAUCAGAGAAGAAACGAGUGUGGUUAUCAGGGUCUUGGAACCCCUGCAGGGACAACCCCUUGGAAGUACCCCAAAUCCUGAGCAGAGUACUCACGACUACCCUCCAGGAGCAAAUGGCCUGAUCUGCAAUGCUAGACCCCCAACAAACCGGGGGUGUCUUGCAUUUUUUCAAAGGAACUAAAAUGGCUGUCUGCGCUGGAAGAGCUGAGGAGAAGGAUGUUCCCCAGAGCCCCAGUGGACUCAGUCAGAAAUGUCACCAGACAUUGGCAGUCAACACCUGAGGUCUCUGUGCUGCCACCCUAACCUGCACCUGGAGCUGCUGGUUACCCUGAAAGACAAAUGACAUGCAGGCCAUCAACCCUGACUGCUGUGCAUGAUUGUGUGUGUACUGUCUAGCCAGGCCUGCACCCAUGGCCCACACCACGUCCACCAGGUCUGGAAUUUAGGUGUGGAGGAGACAGUUAUUGAAAGGUGUGUCAGAUACUAACACAAUGAGUAAGAUGGACAAUAAUCCCUGGAGUUUCCAUUGGACUGUGGAAGGAGGAGGAGGUGACCUGUCUGUCAGUUGUGAGGAGUGGGAUAGAGAUGGAAGACAGCGUUGCUCUGGGGGAUGCUGCGGAGGCCCAGCCUUGGUGCCAGUUAACGAUCAGGUAGAAUCAUGGUGGAAGGGUGAGGGGACAGCACUUCAUGUUGGGAACUGUGGGUCUUAGAGGCAAGAAGUGGAUAGAGACGUCCUGAGUGAAAGAGGAUGAUAGCUCCCAAAGAAGCUUUGCAGUUUGCUUUUCAUUGACUUGCUAAGAAUGGGGAGUGGCCUUCCUACACAGCUGGAGCCCAGCUGUGUAGAACUGACCAAGCCCCACCCCUCCCCCCACCCCAAGGACGUCUGCUGUAACAUCACAUUUUUGCUAUGUGAGCCCAUGUCAUCUCACCAGUUUUCAGUAAAGUCGUCCACAAACACAAAGGCCUGUGUGCAUAUGUCUUUUACAGGGAUGACAGAGCUCUACACUUGUCAACAGAUCACAGACACCAGCAGCUGGCAUGUGUUAUGUGUUGGAGCAGGUACACAAAGGAACGAGUGCACACCAGGGAGGCACACACUAGAAGGGGCACAUGAAUAAGGCCCACUGAACUGUGGGAACAGCAACAGGCCAGCACCAGAAGUCCUAUGCGGACACGUUACAGUGUUACUGAUUGGGGUACAGUAUAUGGC
rnacentral:lncRNA from 1 species